UGGAGGCGGCACUCGGGAGGCAGCGAUCGGGGCUGCAGGCCCUCAAGGGUCCCUCAGGAGUGCGCGACUGGGGCCGGUGGCUCCCGCGCUAUUGCAGGAAUGAUGCUGAGCGCAGGCCCAGGGCAGGCACCGCCUCUGAUCCCCGGCACUGCAGGUCAUGGUUCAGGGUGGGCAGCUCUGGAGACGGGCUGGUGGUGGGGAGCAGCAGUGUGUAUGUCUCCACAAGCUUAUUUUUAGUUGCGUUAUAUAAGUGGCUUCAUCUCGGCGUCAUGUAGGAAGGGGGGGGGUCUCAGAUUUAAUUACAGGAUGACAGCCGUGCAUUUCAAGCAAGCUGUUCUCCUGGCAAGGCAGGCUCAUGGAUUGGGAGCCUGUGCUCAGCAGAGGCUGCCCUUCGAGAAGUGACCCCCUCCCCAGAAGACUGUCACCCCAGCUUCACCUCCAUCCUUAGCCUCUUCACUGAGCUUGCCUGAGGCGGAGGAUAGCCAUUUGUCUAAGGUCUCCAGAGGUGGUGAGAGGGAGACCUGUGCCUGUUAAGGGACCUCUCUCCACCCCCACCCCACCCCACCCCCACCUGGCAGCUUUUCUUCCCUCCGAGGGGAGGAUCUCCCAACCAGAACUCUCCUGUUUUCAUUCCUGGCUUGAAGCUUCUGUAAUAGGUAACCAGAAAGUUCUAGAGUCGGAGAGGCAGAGAAGCAGGUGCUUGGACCCCUCUGGGGCUUCGGGAAAAGCCCUUUUCCCCUCCACACCCUUGUUGCUCAUGCUGCAGGACCAGGACCUGCGCCUGGGCCAGGCCUGAGGGCAGAAGUGUUCUUGUAUGUGCGGGGCAUCGCUCUGGUUUCAGGACAGUCUUAAUGGCUGGCCAUCGCGGUGGCUAGAACUUUAGGUGGAAGUCUCACUCCUACCAGCAGGAAGCCUAUUUCAGCUGCCAACAGCCACCUGGUCUUGUCUGCCCCUCAGGGCAUAGCCUGCCACCAUGGAGGGGACAGGUUGAGACCUGACUGUGACAAGCUCAGGGUGCAAUGUGAGGAGAGGGCCCAGGUUUAAGGAGUCCAUUCUGUCACCAGUCAGCUCGAAUGGGCGGGACAGACACGGCUGUGGCUCCUGGGCAGGUCCCUAGUCUCCUAGAGCCCCCCCCCAAAAGUGGAGAUUAGGGCUCCGUGAAGUGUCAGGAGGAGUCAUGUGGAGGAUUCACCAUGCUUUAGCAGCUGAUACUACCUGACCAGAGUGCCUGCCUUCUCAUCUGGCCAGUCCUCCCUCCCAAGCCCAGCAGGGACAGUACAGUGGACCCCCUCCUCCCCCACCAGAGUGCUUCGCAUGCUGGCAUGUCCCCAUCAUGGCUGAGGGCAGAGGCAGCAGCACAGAGGAGCCUGGAGACGGGAAGACUGACGGUCCCCUGGAGUCCCUCUGGAUCCUGGACAGAAAGAGGACACUACUAGCCUGAGGAGUUGGCUUUCUGAGCAGCCUUGGAGCUGGUGGUGCGGGACUCUGGUGUUUUUCCUGCCUUCCUGGGCUCCUAGACGUCCCAAGGAGAAAAAACCCAUGCCCAGGUUUCCAGGCCAAACGCUUAGUUGCUGCCAGCUCUUUACCACCUCCCACCACUGGGAAGGGAAGCUCUGCAGCCUCGAAGCACAGGCUGGUCCUCCGGUUGCCACUCUUGCGUGUCUUCUUCGGUUUUGAGAGAGGACCUGACUUCUAGUCCAAGCUGUCCUCAAAACCACAGGGAUCCGGUCGCCUUUGUCCACCCUCCCCACCCCACAGCGCUCAGAUUAAAGUUGAUCGGCAAGCUCUCUCAGUCUCUCCAUCCCCGAACUGACACUUCUCUGUGGAGGAUCCAGAUCCUAUGCGUGAUGCACUGCGGUCUGUGUCGGCCUGUGUCGAAACUGGAAUGAAAGUGUGCCUGCCUCUUCACACAGCCAGGAUAAACCAGGAAUGGCUGGGACCAGGCCUCCCCAGCGAGCCGGAUGCGCCACCUCUGAGGCUGUCUGGGAGAGCAGGGAACUACCUCUGGCAUAUCGCACUUGGAGUUCGGAAGACUUCUAUGCAGACAGAUGGAUGUGUUCUUAUGGACAAGGUCAAACUUCUCAGCUAAGCCACGGGGGCUCCCACCUGCCAUCCCACAGAAGGCUGAGGUGGGUAGAGGAUUGCUGUCACCCUGAGGCUCAGUCCAGAUGCAGACUGGGUCUCCAACACAGCCCCCCAGAGCUGAGAGCUAACUCAGCUUAGGAGAGCUGCUCUCAGAGGACGUGAGAUCAGUCCUCAGCUCUCACAACUUCCCGGGGCUCCAGAUGCUGGGACCUGUUGCCUUCUUCUCACUUCCAUAGAUGCCUGCACACACAUGGGGGUAUGUGGGCAUGUGUGCGUGUGUACAAAAAUAUAAAAAUAAAUAUUUAACCUCCCCCAAUAAUCUUACAGCUAAAUGUAAGUUAAAUGCUUUAAAAAAAAAAAAAGUUGCCUAAGCAAGGUACAAGGGGACGUGGUCAGUGCUAGAGAACAAAGUGUUUUAUUCUGUUUGUUUGUUUUUUAUUUUUUAGAUAUUUUUUGAGGCAUCGUCUCACCAUGUAGCCCUGGA